GCUUUGAUAGUUUAAAAAGAAUAUAGUUUUGAAGCGACUAGGGUAAUAGUGUGUUUUGAGGCG
rnacentral:tRNA from 1 species